rnacentral:rRNA from 1 species
UACGUAGGGUGCAAGCGUUAAUCGGAAUUACUGGGCGUAAAGCGUGCGCAGGCGGUUGUGCAAGACAGAUGUGAAAUCCCCGGGCUCAACCUGGGAACUGCAUUUGUGACUGCACGGCUGGAGUGCGGCAGAGGGGGAUGGAAUUCCGCGUGUAGCAGUGAAAUGCGUAGAUAUGCGGAGGAACACCGAUGGCGAAGGCAAUCCCCUGGGCCGUAACUGACGCUGAGGAGCGAAAGCGUGGGGAGCGAACAGG